rnacentral:rRNA from 1 species
UACGUAGGGUGCGAGCGUUAAUCGGAAUUACUGGGCGUAAAGCGUGCGCAGGCGGUUUUGUAAGCCAGAUGUGAAAUCCCCGGGCUUAACCUGGGAAUGGCAUUUGGGACUGCAAGGCUGGAGUGCGGCAGAGGAGACUGGAAUUCCUGGUGUAGCAGUGAAAUGCGUAGAUAUCAGGAGGAAUACCGCUGGCGAAGGCAGGUCUCUGGGCUGACACUGACGCUCAUGCACGAAAGCGUGGGGAGCAAACAGG